GCAGGUGUAGUUCAAUGGUAGAACAUUAGCCUUCCAAGCUAAUUACGCGGGUUCGAUUCCCGUCACCUGCUCCA
rnacentral:tRNA from 1 species